CCGUGCUAGAUGGGGAGGUAGCGGAUCCUUGUAACUCGCAAUCCGCUCUAGCGAGAUGGAAUUCCUGCGUAAGGGCUACGUUUGUGGAGCAGCCCAGGUAUCAGGUGUGAUGAGAUUUUGGUCUCACGCAACAGAACUCUUCGAACCGUGUCAGGUCCUGACGGAAGCAGCACUAAGGAGUUCGUUCUGUGUGCCGUGGGGUAGCCUGGAUCGAGCAACUGAUCUUGGUAACGUCCGGAAACGUUAGUUCAAACAAAGGUGCACGG
rnacentral:SRP_RNA from 1 species